GAGAAUGCAGAAAUGGAUGC
rnacentral:miRNA from 1 species